CAAAGGUCUUUUUUGUCGAGCCUUCGACUUUUGUCGAAAAAGCGAGACAUAGCGAUCCUACAUUCCGUCGGCGUCGUCGGCGGCGGCGUCCACAAAUAUUCACUCUGUGGUUAAAGUUUUUGAAAUUUUAAUAACUUUCUCAAACUAUCCUGGAUUUCUACCAAACUUGGACAGAAGCUUGUUUAUGAUCAUAAGAUAAUAUUCAAAAGUAAAUUUUGUAAAAAAAGAAUUCCAUUUUUUCCAUAUUUUACUUAUAAAUGGACUUAGUUUUUCUGCCAGGAAACAUUACAUUCACUCUGUGGUUAAAGUUUUUCAAAUUUUAAUAACUUUCUCAAACUAUCCUAGAUUUCUACCAAACUUGGACAGAAGCUUGUUUAUGAUCAUAAGAUAAUAUUCAAAAGUAAAUUUUGUAAAAAAAAAUUCCAUUUUUUCCAUAUUUUACUUAUAAAUGGACUUAGUUUUUCUGCCAGGAAACAUUACAUUCACUCUGUGGUUAAAGUUUUUGAAAUUUUAAUAACUUUCUUAAACUAUCCUGGAUUUCUACCAAACUUGGAAAGAAGCUUGUUUAUGAUCAUAAGAUAGUAUCCAGAAGUAAAUUUUGUAAAAAAAAAUUCCAUUUUUUCCGUAUUUUACUUAUAAAUGGACUUAGUUUUUCUGCCAGUUAACAUUACAUUCACUCUGUGGUUAAAGUUUUUAAAAUUUUAACAACUUUCUUAAACUAUCUUGGAUUUGUACCAAACUUGGACAGAAGCUUGUUUAUGAUCAAAAGCUAGUAUCUAGAAGGAAAUUUUUUAAAAAUUUUGUUCCAUUUUCUCCGUUUUUUACUUAUAAAUGGACUUAGUUUUUCUUCCAGUUAACAUUACAUACAGUCUGCAGUUUUAAGUUUUUAAAACAUUUAUUAGAUUCAUAAACUAUCCUGGAUUUUUACCAAACUUUGACAGAAGCUACUUACAAUCAAAAGAUAGUAUAGAGAGGAAUAUUUUUUAUUAAUUUUUUUCCUUAUUUUUGUUGAGCCUGCGAUUAACAGCAAAAGUAGGCGAGACACUGGGUUCCGCGGAACCCUUACGAAUUUUUUAAGUAAUGUGUUUGUCUCCAUAAAAGAUGGUUAACUGUCCUUGUCAAUUUUUUGGUCUUUGGCUCAUUUUUUAUACAACUGCAAAAAAUUUUUGUGGUCGUAUAUUGGUAUGAUGUUGGCGUCAUUGUCGUCUUUGUUGUCGUUGUCGUUUGAAAACACAUUGGUUUUCGCACAAUAACUUUAGUUUAAGGGAAUGGAUCUCUAUGAAAUUUUUACCAUAAGGUUCAAUACCACAAAAGGAAGGUUGGGAUUGAUUUUGGGGGUUAUGGUACCAACAGUAAAGGAAUUAGGGGCCAAAAAGGGGCCAAAAAUAAGCAUUUUUGUAACUUCCAGACAUAACUUGUGUGUUAUUGUAUGGAUCUCUCUGACAUUGUACCACAAGGUUCCAUAUCACAAAGGGAAUGCUGGGAUUGAUUUUGGGGGUAAUUGCCUCAAAAUUUUAGGAAUUAG